GGCCUUCAUUCAUUUAAUUGUCUUUUUUGUGUUAUCUCUAAAUUCUCCAUGGCUCUGGACAGUAAUUAAACAUAAAGGAGAGAAGUUCUCCCGCCAGCUGUCCUGCGUCACUCCUUCAGUUCUCAGCUUAGAUUUCCUGUCCUUGGGAAGCUGUCAUCAUCCUUCUAUCUUUACACCCCAUGAUUUACCCCUUGCAGUGUACUUAUUACACUGUAUUGGAAUCGCUUCUUUUCUCUUUCUCUGUGAAUUUCUUGAGAGCACAGACUACAUUCUGCUUAACUUUUUAUCCCCAGCUUUCAGCACAGUGCCUGGCUGCUUUGGCGUCUCCAAGUACCUGACCUCAGCUCAACCUGUCUUGGGUUUUCUUCUCCUCCCUGACAUUGACAACCCAGCCCUCCUAGGCACAGAGAGAUGGAGCUGAGUGUGGUUUUCCUGAAAUAAAGCUUGCAUUAUGAGAGGGAAUAAACAGAAGAAAAAAAUAGUAAGUAAAAUCUUGCUUGCCUCUCAGUAAAAUAAAGCUCUAUUUUUCGUUUUUUUUUUUUCCAACUUCCUGUACAAAAAAGGGAAAACUUUAGCUUUUGGGGGAAAUUUGGAGCUAGCCUGUUGGUACUGUUGAGCUUAGUGUAUCUAUAACUAUAUAUUAUUCCACAAUAUCUUAAAUACUUUAUAAAGAUAUUUUCAUAAAU
rnacentral:lncRNA from 1 species